CCUACGGGGGACAGCAGUGGGGAAUAUUGGGCAAUGGGCGCAAGCCUGACCCAGCAACGCCGCGUGAAGGAAGAAGGCUUUCGGGUUGUAAACUUCUUUUCUCAGGGACGAAGCAAGUGACGGUACCUGAGGAAUAAGCCACGGCUAACUACGUGCCAGCCGCCGCGGUACUAAGUAGGUGGCAAGCGUGAUCCGGAUUUACUGGGUGUAAAGGGCGUGUAGGCGGGACUGCAAGUCAGAUGUGAAAACCACGGGCUCAACCUGUGGCCUGCAGUUGAAACUGUAGUUCUUGAGUACUGGAGAGGCAGACGGAAUUCCUAGUGUAGCGGUGAAAUGCGUAGAUAUUAGGAGGAACAUCAGUGGCGAAGGCGGUCUGCUGGACAGCAACUGACGCUGAGGCGCGAAAGCGUGGGUAGCAAACAGGAUUAGAUACCCGUGUAGUC
rnacentral:rRNA from 1 species